rnacentral:rRNA from 1 species
UACGUAGGGGGCUAGCGUUAUCCGGAAUUACUGGGCGUAAAGGGUGCGUAGGUGGUUUCUUAAGUCAGAGGUGAAAGGCUACGGCUCAACCGUAGUAAGCCUUUGAAACUGAGAAACUUGAGUGCAGGAGAGGAGAGUAGAAUUCCUAGUGUAGCGGUGAAAUGCGUAGAUAUUAGGAGGAAUACCAGUUGCGAAGGCGGCUCUCUAGUACGGUACUGACGCUGAGACGCGAAAGCGUGGGGAGCGAACAGG